UACGUAGGCAGCGAGCGUUGUUCGGAGUUACUGGGCGUAAAGGGUGUGUAGGCGGUCCGCUAAGUUCGGCGUGAAAUCCCCCUGGCUCAACUGGGGAACGGCGCUGGAUACUGGUGGACUCGAGUACCGGAGAGGAGAGUGGAAUUCCUGGUGUAGCGGUGAAAUGCGUAGAUAUCAGGAGGAACACCGGUGGCGAAGGCGGCUCUCUGGACGGAUACUGACGCUGAGGCGCGAAAGCGUGGGGAUCAAACAGG
rnacentral:rRNA from 1 species